rnacentral:lncRNA from 1 species
AAAGAUAAAUCGCUUGAACGCAUUGUUAAGUUUAAUUUAGAAGUAUUGCAUCAAUGAUUUCUUUAUUAUUAAAUAGGUAAAGUGUCAUAUCAUUAGAACAGGUAUAUUCAAGAUAAAGAUACUGUUUUUUGCCGAUAAUACUAGCCUAAUAUCAAUACUGGAUGACAAAAAUAUCUUAAUAUACUGUUUAAAUAUUUAAAUGCGUAAUGAGAUUUUUGCUAUUCAAGCUGUAUUCUAUUUUUGAAAUAAGUUGAAAGGAAUCGAAAUAUAGCCUUGAACAACAUAAAAAAAAAAAACAGGAAGUUUGUAUAUUUCAUAGUAACACAGUAGCUCUCUAACUUGUAAAAUGGAGAAUAUUUGUCGUCACGGGUAAAAAAAAGCUGCUUCGAUUUGCAUAAAUUAUAAUCAGAUAAUAGAAUAAAUAAAAAAUUAUAAAUAUAUUCAAGGAUCUUUGCACAAGUUUGAUUUUCAUUUUUAUUCACUUUGCAAUUUAAUUCCGGAAUGGAGAAAAAGUAUUUAAAAAUUUCCGCAAAAGAUAAAAAGGUUAAUGCAAAAGUUCGCCUUUGCACGAAUAAUGAUUGUGAAGAUAACGAUGGUGAAUUAUUUGUAAACGACAUGGAAAUAGUGCAAAAGAAAGAAACAUAAAGUAAUGUUAUGAAAUUGUUUGCAGGGAAUGGCCUUAUGUUGAUCACGCAAACAAACAAUUAUUCUUUCAUUCAAAAUGAAAUGAAUGCUUCAAUUUUAGAACUUCUUAUUAAAACAAUUACAAAAAAUUCGAGACGUAUAUAUUUAAAAACGUUUGUAUUGCCAUUUAUUGAUAUGUACAGUACAACUAAAAACUUUCGAGUGUUUUCAUAAAAAUCGACCAAGAACAAAACCAUAAAGCAACUAGUAAACUUCUCCGGAAGAAUUUCAAAAAGGAAAACGUUUUCUUAGAUCUGGGAGUAAAAAAUAAGACAUUUGAUAAUGGACAUAAUAGAAAAAAUAAAUGGCUUAAUGGAUUUCAGUAAACUUUGCUUAAUGAUUCAUUUUCAGUGUUUUUUCAGUUCUAAAAUUUAUCAAA